rnacentral:lncRNA from 1 species
GAUAUGAAGCUGCCCCCUCAGUUUAAGGACAUGAAGAUGCCUGCUUCUUUUGGGAAGGAUCCGAACCAGAAGGCGAUGAAGUUUAAUUUGCCGGAGGAUGAUGAUUUUAGUGAUGAUUACGACGAUGAGGAUGAUUAUGAUGAUGAGGAUGAUUAUGAUGAUGAUGAUCUAGAUGAUCUAGAUGAUGAUUUGGAUGAUGCUCCUCCACUUAAUAAGAUGAAACCUAUGAUGAAUCAAGGUGGGGGUGGGCAGAUGCCUCCGAAUAUGAUGAUGAGCGGGAUGAAGCCUGGCCAGCUUCCGCCACACCUCAUGAAAGGUCCUCCUCCUGGUGGUAAUAACGGUGGAAAUGGUGGCGGAAAUGGCAAGAAAGGUGGUGGGGGAAAUAUUCCUGUUCAGAUGAAUGCUAAUGGUGGAAAGAAAGGUGGUGCUGGGGGCGGAAAUAAUGGAGGCAAUCAGAACGGAGGGGGUGGGCCACCCAAGAAUGGCAGCGGCAAGCCUAAUGGUGGUGGUGGAGGUGGGGGAGCAGGUGGUGGUCAAUUCAAGAAUGGCGGAGGAGGUGGUGGACCUCCUGGUGGUAACAAUAUGAAUGGCAAUGGAGAAAAAAAGGUUAUGAUGAAUCAGGGUGGUCAUGUUAUGCCUAACAUGAUGGGCAUGAGUGGUAGUGGUGGUAGUAGUUUAGGCCACAUUGGUGGUAUGCCUAUGGGUCAGAUGGGUCAAAUGGGUAACAUGCCUAUGGGCCAGAUGAGUAAUAUGCAAGCAGCAGCUGUUCAAGGCCUUCCUGCUGCGGCGAUGAAUGGUGGUGCUCCUGGCGGAU